rnacentral:rRNA from 2 species
GAGGAUGAUCAGUCACACUGGAACUGAGACACGGUCCAGACUCCUACGGGAGGCAGCAGUGGGGAAUAUUGGACAAUGGGCGAAAGCCUGAUCCAGCCAUGCCGCGUGUGUGAAGAAGGUCUUCGGAUUGUAAAGCACUUUAAGUUGGGAGGAAGGGCUAAUACGUUAGUGUUUUGACGUUACCGACAGAAUAGGCACCGGCUAACUUCGUGCCAGCAGCCGCGGUAAUACGAAGGGUGCAAGCGUUAAUCGGAAUUACUGGGCGUAAAGCGCGCGUAGGUGGUUUGUUAAGUUGGAUGUGAAAGCCCCGGGCUCAACCUGGGAACUGCAUCCAAAACUGGCAAGCUAGAGUAUGGCAGAGGGUGGUGGAAUUUCCUGUGUAGCGGUGAAAUGCGUACAUAUAGGAAGGAGCACCAGUGGCGAAGCGACC